UACGUAGGGGGCAAGCGUUGUCCGGAAUCAUUGGGCGUAAAGAGCGUGUAGGCGGCCCGGUAAGUCCGCUGUGAAAGUCCAGGGCUCAACCCUGGGAUGCCGGUGGAUACUGUCGGGCUAGAGUGCGGAAGAGGCGAGUGGAAUUCCCGGUGUAGCGGUGAAAUGCGCAGAUAUCGGGAGGAACACCUAUUGCGAAGGCAGCUCGCUGGGACGUAACUGACGCUGAGACGCGAAAGCGUGGGGAGCAAACAGG
rnacentral:rRNA from 1 species